rnacentral:tRNA from 1 species
CGUUCUGUAGUUGAUGCAUACAACAUUAAAUUGCAAAUUUAAAGGAGGAUUAUGUCUUGGAACGU